GACAGUGUCAGGCGGGGAGUUUGACUGGGGCGGUACAUCUGUUAAAUAAUAACGCAGGUGUCCUAAGGUUAGCUCAGUGAGGACAGAAACCUCACGUAGAGUAAAAGGGCAAAAGCUAACUUGAUCUAUGACCUUCAGUAUUGGUAUAGACCGCGAAAGCGUGGCCUAUCGAUCCUUUUGUUGUUCUUAAACGGUUGACAGUUUCUAAGCAAGAGGUGUCAGAAAAGUUACCACAGGGAUAACUGGUAGCGCUAAGGCUUGAUGUGGUUGUCGCAAGGCAAUCAAUAAAACAGCAUCAAGCGGUGCAGCGUUACAAACUCUGGUGUUUAGUGGUGCCAAUGUGGUAUACGGUUCGCCGUGUGCCACUUUCGGCCAUGGUGCAUAAGUCCCAUUGACUUGGGCUUAUUCUAUAUUUGAGAUGUCUACGGAUUUGGGGCAACUUGAGUCCGUGGAUGAGCCAUAGAGGGUGAAAGUCCCUUAAUGCACAGGUAUUGGUGCCACGAACUAGAGCAGUGGCGUCUGGUAAAACAGGCGUUGCGAUUUGUUAGAGUCGGGUUGCUUGAGAGUGCAACCUAAAGAGCGAGGUAAACUGCUCGUAAGGCUAUUGAAAUACGGCUACGACACCGAUAGCAAACAAGUACCGUGAGGGAAAGUUGAAAAGUACUUUGAAGAGAGAGUUAAACAGGGCGUGAAACCGCUAGCUGGUAAAACCCGUCUUGAAACACGGACCAAGGAGUGUAGGAGGGUUGUGUUGGUAGCGUUGAAGGCUAUGAGGGCGUGAGCCUGGCUGGAGCUGCCAAUAGUACAGAUCUUGGUGGUAGUAGCAAAUACUCAAGUGAGACCCUUGAGGGCCAAUGUGGAGAAGGGUUCCAUGCUAACAGCAAUUGGACAUGGGUCAGUCGGUGAAUUAGGUUAAUAUUCCUAAACCAAGAUGGGGAGAUGGCACGGACCACGGGAAUCCGACUGUCUAAUUAAAACAAAGCAUUGCGAUGGCCUAUGAUUGUGGUGUUGACGCAAUGUGAUUUCUGCCCAGUGCUAUGAAUGUCACAGUGAAGAAAUUCAUCUAAGCGCUAGUAAACGGCGGGAGUAACUAUGACUCUCUUGUGGUAGCCAAAUGCCUCGUCAUCUAAUUAGUGACGCGCAUGAAUGGAUUAACGAGAUUCCCACUGUCCCUAUCUACUACCUAGCGAAACCACAGCCAAGGGAACGGGCUUGGCAAAAUCAGCGGGGAAAGAAGACCCUGUUGAGCUUGACUCUAGUCUGGCUUUGCGCGGAGUAUGUACGUUGCGAGCAUGCUGUUUUCGGAUAGUGUGUUUGUAGGCGUGCAUGCGUUGCGAGUGGAGCCACGAAGUCGUUUCGUAGAAUACGGGGCGCAGAUUCAGUCGGGGUGCGUUUCAUCGCGAAGCGCGCUUUGGCGUAUUUCUGCUUGUUCCGCUACUGUAAGCGUACACUGCAACCAAUUAGACGGCCAACGAUGGAAGCAGUUUGCAUGUUAACAGGGAAACUUGUUGCUUGUAAGCGAACAAAUUUGUGUAUUUGCUGUAGGUAGCCUGACUAGAGCCUUCGGGUUUUAUUUGGGUGUCUGACAUUUGGUAAAUGCGUGAACUAUUGUUGGGUACUGAUUGGCAAAAUGAAAAUCGAACUGGUGAAACAGUUCGUGUUAACAUAGAAAGCGGCCAGCGUUGUGUUUGAGUACAAUUGUGCGUUUCUAGUUAAAGCUUGGUAUUUUUUGAAUUCAGGCGGUGCUAAUAUCAGGGGCUUGCUCUUGAUUUAGUAUUUGUUUCCUGCACUAAUCGGAUGCCAACUUUGCUGGAGAUUUGAUGCAGUUGGUGCGAUAGCAUUGAGCGCAACAGUUGGUUUGCAAGUAUUGGCAGUGAGUAGGUCGGCUUUCCACACGCGUUGAAUUAUUGUUCGUUUAAAUGGCGAUUAGCUAUGAUUCAACGCCUAAGAGAAUGGCGAAAGCUAUUUCUGAAUCAAAGGCGGUGUAAUCAAAACAUGAAUCAUACAAAUUGUGAGUUGAAACGCAACAACGUUGUGUGGAAACGAUCAAAAUAAAUGUGCAAUGAACACUGCAUGACUCGAAAGGGGUCGGUUGUGCGGUCAUUCAUUUGGCUGUGCAAUCGGUCUUGGCGGCAACGCAAACAAGGCUCUGAGGAUCGAGUUGGUCGGGCUGUUUGUGAGAUACUUUCAUGAGUUUGUAUUGAUGCUGGACUGGACGUACGUGAGGCGAGAAUGCGAGGUCUCUAAACAAGGCAGCGUGUUUUUGUCGCUCGAAGCCGGAUCGGCAGGGAUCGCUCGUUUGUUGAUCGCUACAGCUACGCUGGUAUAUGUGUGUUUGUGCGGUUUCGGUCGUGCAAGUGUGCGUGUAUCAACUAAAAGCGUCAUCGGCUAACAACUAACGAUCGAAUCAGAACUCAAGCUCUCGUUAAAACGUGAAUCAGUUUCAUCUGGUAAAGCGAAUGAUUAGAGGCAUUGGGAGCGAAACGCUCUCAACCUAUUCUCAAACUUUAAAUGGGUGAGAUGUACGACGUACUUAAUUGACGCCGUAUAAUUCAGAAUGUAUUGAGAGCUUAGUGGGCCAUUUUUGGUAAGCAGAACUGGCGAUGCGGGAUGAACCGAAAGUGAAGUUAAGGUUGCCGAUAAUGGUGCUAACAAUUGAGCACUAGCUACACUCAUGAGAUCCCCAUGAAAGGUGUAAGUUGCUAAAGACAGCAAGGACGUGGCCAUGGAAGUCGGAAACAUCUAAGGAGUGUGUAACAACUCACUUGCCGAAGCAACUUGCCCUGAAAAUGGAAGCAGCUCGAGUGUUGAACCUAUACUUGACUCUAGUUAAGUAUCGAGUCGAUCGGUCUUGAUUAGGCCAGACACUGUGAGCGUGAGGCGUGUAAAAAGCGUCUUGCGUGUUAGUCGCAGAAUAACCAAACAAAUGAUGGCGUAGUGAAAUCAAAUUAUAUGUGAUCUGAGGUCUAUAAAAAUGGCCUACAGCGCAACAUAUGCCCAUUCGUAUGAUUAUACGCGCAAGUGUUAAUUGAAUGGAGCAAAGAGAUACUUGACUGGUAUUCUCCCACUUGGCCGUACCCAUAUCCGCAGCAGGUCUCCAAGGUUAACAGCCUCUGGUCACUUAGGAUAAUGUAGGUAAGGGAAGUCGGCAAAACGGAUCCGUAACUUCGGGAUAAGGAUUGUGAAGAGACAUGAGAGGUGUAGCAUAGGUGGGAGAUAUGAGUCGGGCAACCGGCUUGUAUCGCAAGUGAAAUACCACUACUUUCAUUGUUUCUUUACUGA
rnacentral:rRNA from 1 species